rnacentral:rRNA from 1 species
UACGUAGGGUGCAAGCGUUAAUCGGAAUUACUGGGCGUAAAGCGUGCGCAGGCGGCUUUGCAAGACAGAUGUGAAAUCCCCGGGCUCAACCUGGGAACUGCAUUUGUGACUGCAAAGCUAGAGUACGGCAGAGGGGGAUGGAAUUCCGCGUGUAGCAGUGAAAUGCGUAGAUAUGCGGAGGAACACCGAUGGCGAAGGCAGCUUGCUGGGACGGUACUGACGCUGAGGCGCGAAAGCGUGGGGAGCAAACAGG